UCCAGACUCCUACGGGAGGCAGCAGUGAGGAAUAUUGGUCAAUGGGCGAGAGCCUGAACCAGCCAAGUCGCGUGAAGGAUGACGGCCCUACGGGUUGUAAACUUCUUUUGUCAGGGAGCAAUUGGGUCCACGCGUGGGCUUAGCGAGAGUACCUGAAGAAAAAGCAUCGGCUAACUCCGUGCCAGCAGCCGCGGUAAUACGGAGGGUGCAAGCGUUACUCGGAAUCACUGGGCGUAAAGAGCGCGUAGGUGGGAUAGCAAGUCAGAUGUGAAAUCCUAUGGCUUAACCAUAGAACUGCAUUUGAAACUGUUAUUCUAGAGUAUGGGAGAGGUAGGUGGAAUUCUUGGUGUAGGGGUAAAAUCCGUAGAGAUCAAGAGGAAUACUCAUUGCGAAGGCGACCUGCUAGAACAUAACUGACGCUGAUGCGCGAAAGCGUGGGGAGCAAACAGGAUUAGAUACCCCAGUAAG
rnacentral:rRNA from 1 species